rnacentral:rRNA from 1 species
UCUGACCUCAAAUCAGGUAGGACUACCCGCUGAACUUAAGCAUAUCAAUAAGCGGAGGAAAAGAAACUAACAAGGAUUCCCCUAGUAACUGCGAGUGAAGCGGGAAAAGCUCAAAUUUAAAAUCUGGCGGUCUUCGAUCGUCCGAGUUGUAGUCUGGAGAAGCGUCUUNCCGCGCUGGACCGUGUACAAGUCUCUUGGAACAGAGCGUCGUAGAGGGUGAGAAUCCCGUCUUUGACACGGACUACCCAGUGCUUUGUGAUGCGCUCUCAAAGAGUCGAGUUGUUUGGGAAUGCAGCUCAAAAUGGGGGAAAUUCCAAUAAAGCUAAG